CCAAUAGCGUAUAUUAAAGUUGUUGCAGUUAAAAAGCUCGUAGUUGAAUUUCGGGAUCAGUACGCUGGUCGUGCCUCCGGUACGUACUGGUGUCACUGAUUCCUCCCUUCUGACGAACCAUCAUGCCAUUCACUUGGUGUGGUGGGGAAAUCAGGACUGUUACUUUGAAAAAAUUAGAGUGUUUAAAGCAGGCUCACGCUUGAAUACAUUAGCAUGGAAUAAUGAAAUAGGACGUUGACCCUAUUUUGUUGGUUUCUAGGAUUGACGUAAUGAUUAAUAGGGAUAGUUGGGGGCAUUAGUAUUCAAUUGUCAGAGGUGAAAUUCUUGGAUUUAUUGAAGACUAACUACUGCGAAAGCAUUUGCCAAGGAUGUUUUCAUUAAUCAAGAACGAAAGUUAGGGGAUCGAAGACGAUCAGAUACCGUCGUAGUCUUAACCAUAAACUAUGCCGACUAGGGAUCGGAUGAUGUUAAUUUUUUAAUGACUCAUUCGGCGCCUUACG
rnacentral:rRNA from 1 species